UAGAGAGACGAGGCCGAGCACGGCUCCAACCGCAGCAGCGCGCGAGCCACGGCAACCGAACGCCCGCGACGCGAAUACAGCCAGCGCGAGCACGAGCUCCUCCGCCACCCAGUGUGCCAUCGCGUCGCCGCCGCGCCCGCCGUCCAUGGCGUCCGUGUCCACGGCGCCGCGCGCGCCGCUCCCCGCGGCCGCGUCCUCCCCGUCCUCCGCGCGGCAGCUGGAUCGGAACCCUAGCGGCGGCCGGUUCCUCGCCGCGCGGCGCCUCCGCGCCGUGCGACGCCUCGCCGGCGCGGCCACCUCGCGGCGCGCGCCGGCGGCCCGGUGCUCCGCGGCGCGUAGCCCGGACGCGGACGCCGGCGGCGAGCGGCGCAGGCGGGGCUGGGACGCGAUGCUCCACGACGCGUUCCGGGGCGCCGUGCGGCGGUGGAGCGAGUACGUCAGCAAUUACUGGCCCCCAACGCCCGCCGCGAAGGAGGCAGGUACGGGGAAGAGGGUUGGGAGUUCUCACGAAGCGAUGAGCGGGGAUGAAGAGGCGAGUAGGGCGGAGGAGGAGGAAGAGGGGAUGUGGAGCUGGGAGAUGUGGAAGCGGCACUUUGCUCUCAUUGAGGAGAGCGAGCGCCUCGUUGAUGAGCUACAGCUACAACUCCGAACUGCUAUUUAUAGAGAAGACUAUAGGAGUGCUCAUAAACUGAAGCUGGCUAUCGCGGCUACGGCAAGAAAUGACACUGUGGGCAGAGCUAUCUCUGACUUAAAUAGGGCAAUAGAAGAGGAGCGCUACAGGGAUGCAACAUAUAUCAGAGAUCAUGUUGGUGCAGGAUUGCUGGGGUGGUGGUCUGGAAUUUCUGGAAAUUUGUCUGAUCCAUAUGGUCUUAUAAUUCAUAUAAGUGCUGAACAUGGUCGAUAUGUUGCAAGAAGUUAUGAUACAAGGCAGCUAGCUUCAGAUGGCCAUGGUUUUCCUAUAUUUGAAAUAUACUUUGCAGAAGCAAAUGGAGAAUACAAACUGCAGGCAGUGCAUCUGCGACCAGAUGAUAGUGAUUCUGACCAAUUGCCAAACAUUUUAAGAGAGAAACUUGGCAUUGACAGUAUAAACAUAUCUAGCAGUUCAGUAGGGUCUAAGCAUGAAGAAUUCGAUGGAAGUGUAAACAUGGAUGAUCAAGAUAAUGAUGACAGUAAUAUUACUGCUGGUGGCCCAGCUGGUUUGAAAAACUUAUCAAGCGAUUCAACUGCCAUUCCCAGGAUUAAAAUCUUGAAAGUGGUACCCAUAGAAAAUGUCAACCAAGACUACAUAAUCAAUAUUUUUGAUCAAAUUUCAGAGGAAGAUGAUGACCAUGAUGAUUCUGAGGUCGAAAAUGAAUCCUCUCAUGAUAUUGGUGAUGGAGAUAACACUGAAGGAGCAGAAACAGUUUCUGCAGAAGAGAAUGGUGAUGAAUCUGGCGAUGAAAAUGAUAUUGAAGCCUUGAUUUCAAUUGAUUUUGUCAGUGAAAAUAACAACGAUUAUGCUUCCCAUUCAUCAGCUGCAGCAUUUGAACGAAUGCCAGCUAGAUUAGAAAGAACAGACCGCUUCUCAUUUUCCUUCUAUACUGAAGAAUACAAUAAAAAACUAGGUGCGGGAAAAGGCCAGCAGACUUCAAACAGAACAGUUAGUCUGCAUACUAGUCAGCAGGAUGAUGAUGGUUUUGUCCAGCUUGAUUGUGUAAAGUUGAGUGGCAGCAACAAGAAACUAUCGAUACUACAACUUGGCAUCAAACAACAUAAUAACAAGGUUCAGCAAAAACUGCAUGGAGUUACCCACUUCAGUCGGAUUCAGGCGCCUAUAUCUUCAGAUCCUCUUAACGGUUUAUAUGUGACUGCUUCAGGAUUUGACUCAGAAAUUAUUAGUUUGCAACGGAAAUUUGGUCAAUAUCAGGAGGAUAAUUUGUCAGAGGAGCAUAGCGACCUACUGUUCUAUGAGUAUGUUGAAGCUGUAAAAUUAACAGGGGACAACCUUGUGCCAGCGGGUCAGGUUGUGUUCCGUGCAAAAGUUGGUGAGCGCUAUCAGCUUCCUCAUAAGGGAAUCAUCCCAAGAGAACUUGGAGUGGUUGCUAGGUAUAAGGGGCAAAGGAAAAUUGCAGACCCUGGUGUCCAAAACCCUCGAUGGGUUGAUGGGGAGCUUCUGAUACUUGAUGGAAAGUUCAUCAGAGAUGGUCCUGUGAUAGCUUUCUUUUACUGGACAUCAAAUUUUCAUCUUUUUGAAUUCUUUAGACGGUUGAAGCUUCCUGACUAGUUCCCUUCUAAUAGAAGUAGUUGAAGACUCCAUUCUCUCAAGGGUCUUCUUUUCCGGGCACUGGUUUGUUCUAUGAUCAGAGUCAGACUCGUGGAAGUGACAGAAUAAUUUUUUGGGCUCACGCGAAGGUCCGCGACCUCGGCCUCUUCCUCUGCCGCGACCUCUGCCCCGUGCUCCGGACGAAAGUUGCUUGUCAUUUGUGUGUUGCGGUUCCGACUCUGGUGGUAUCAUGAAGGGAUCAAAGGUUAACUGUUCCUCAUCAUCUUGUGAGGGUUCCACAGAGCUUCUCCAGGGUCCUCGGGGGCUCUCUUGUGAGUUGAGAAGCAAGCUGACUAGGCAGGAGACCUUCGAUGCAUUUCUCAAUCGCAUCUUUCUCUGGGAAGUUUGGGAUUUGAGCCUUCUUCUGAAUGAACCUCCGGAGAUAGUCAUAGAGAGGCUCGCAGUCAUAGAGAGGCUCGCAGUCGUGUUGUGGGCACUUGAAGUCUUUCACAGUGUUGGUAUUUAGCCUUCUGAAUCCCUGGAAGUCUUGGAGGAGCCUUCUUUUCAGCUGGUACCUGUUAUUGAUUGAUUGUUGGGGAAGAUAUGAGUACCAGUUGGCCACAGAAUCUUCACAAGCCAUGACGAAAGACUUGACCAUGGUUGAGUCGUCACCUCCGGCCGAAGCAAAGGUUGCUUCGUAGGCCAUGAGGAACUGGGUUGGAUCAGUUGUAGCAUUGUACUUGGGGAGUUGUGUGGGGUUGUAGCCGAGCGGCCAUGAAGUUCGCUGCAGAGCGACUGAAAGUGGCGAGGUCGGGUCAAAUGGGAGGUUGACCGGUGGUGACCUUCGGUCUUCGUUGUGAGCGAAGGUUGUCUGGUGGAUGACGCGGUUUUCUUGUUGGGCAGAACCUUCGGGCAUUUCUUGGUAUGCUCUCUGCAAAUUCUCAACUUCUGCCUCCAUUUCUGCUAGCUUGCGCCUGGCCUCGGCUAGCUUGUUUGCCUGGUCAAGUGCCCUCUUUUUGGUGGCGAGUUGAGCUUCGAUGUUCCUUUUCUUCAUUUCAAGGGUCUUGAGCUUGAGUGCUGCUUUUGUGAGCUCCGCGGAUUGGGUUUGAUGAGCUUCGGUGUUUUCGCUGUCUUCAACCGGAUCUCCAUGAAGAACAGCUUCGGUGGCGAUGUUUUCAAUUCGUGGGUUGGGCUUCUUCGUGUUGCGGUGGAGAGCCGUCAAGGACAUGGCCAGGCUCAGUGGAGUUGCUUGUGGUGCCGGCUGGGGCUUUCCUCUUCGCUGGGGCCAUCGAAGGUUGUUUUUCGAGCUAGAACGGUCAUUGCGAUCCUCACAUGUACAUAGUUGACUUUGGCGCCAACUGGAGUCUGGGCUGCCUUUAAAGUCCCCGAAUAGGACUUCCAAUGCGGAGAAUAGGGUGCUGGAUGUCGCUUGAAUUUAUUUGGCUUGUGCAUCCACUAUGAAAAUCUGCAGUAAGCGUGAAAAAAGAGCACACAACAGAAUAUCUUGCUGCCAACAUGGAUGAGCCAUGCGCAUUUCUGCUCACCUCGUCUACCGGGUCCGGAACUUGACUGCAUAAAAACUGCAGUCCCUGUGUUUCGCAGAAAAAGUAGAAUUAAAGCACCUAGUAAGGUAAAGUUGUGUAGCCGCAAAUAAUCCAAGAUUUUGAGCGUAUCUUGGUAUGUAAAAAAGCAACAGUUUUUUUUGUUUUUUUUGGCAGUAUGAUCAAAUAAUCGAGCUACAAUGAGCAGUGCCCACCUUGACUGUACAUGUACUUCAAUCAGCAGCGGAGGCGUAGACUGAUGCGCAUAAUCUGCUCAACCCAGAAUUGUUAAUAUAUAUUGAAGUUUGUUUAACA